rnacentral:rRNA from 1 species
CGGACGGGUGAGUAAUGUCUGGGAAACUGCCCGAUGGAGGGGGAUAACUACUGGAAACGGUAGCUAACACCGCAUAACGUCGCAAGACCAAAGAGGGGGACCUUCGGGCCUCUUGCCAUCGGAUGUGCCCAGAUGGGAUUAGCUAGUAGGUGGGGUAACGGCUCACCUAGGCGACGAUCCCUAGCUGGUCUGAGAGGAUGACCAGCCACACUGGAACUGAGACACGGUCCAG